GCAUCUGUGAAGGUAAAAACAGAGUUAACGUUUCGGGUCCGGUGACCCUUCCUCAGAACAUUGUGGGCAGUCUUCCUUCAGCAAAGUACUACUAAUUCUGUUGAAACACACGCGUAAUUGAACUUAAGCUCUAUUUAUUUCAAUAGAAGUGUUCUGAAAAUGUUAAUUCUUUCCCUGAGACAUCGUCAGGCUAUUUCGAACACUUUUUGUUUAUCUUUUCACUUUUUAAAAGUUUUGAAACACUUUUAAGAGUUUAGCUUUAGCGGCCAUAUUCUUAAUUUGAAUUUAAAAAGGUAGGCAGGCACAGGAAACAAAACUAUCUCUUUCCAAUGCUUUCUUGUUUAAAAGUAGGAAAACAUUUAAACUGAGCUAACAAUUAGAACAAGAAACUUAAGAGAAUGUUGCCAAAUAAACCGAUCUCUAAAUUGGCUCGUUUAGGAGAUAAUAUCCGUCCAGCGGCAUUUUGUUUUCCAUGAAUACUUGUGUUCCUAAAAUGUCCUAUGAUACUUUGGGGAGAUGCGGGAAGUGACUGCAUCCGACGAAACAUUCCUCCCAAUUAUCGAGUCGGCGUGGAGAAGAAACCAAAUAUUUCUCGUAGCCUCGAGGCUACUCUUCAACACUGACACGCCUCUCAACUGUUGAACCUAAUGAAAAAGCAGACGUUUGUACUUUUGCAGAGCUGAACUUUCGCGACUUCCACCCACUCGUUAACUCAUCAAUUUGCAUUUUGUGACUCGUGCAAGUUAAGUUCGACAAAGGAAACAAGUUUACUUUUAUUCAUUUUGCAAAAGUAGCUAACAGAAAUUUGUGAAGAAAAACACCUUUGACCCCAACACCAGGAGAGGAUGGAUACUGUUGGGUGGUUCCCUGAGCAGACUGUCAAAGUCAUUUGGCAGAAUGCCUCGUCACCAGAACUUUCUAACAAGCACCAAGCUAUCAUUUGGCUGGUGGUGAGAAGGGCACCUGUUAGAUCGUUUUUGUACUCAAAGCGGCUGCGGGGAGAUACAGAGUGACACACAGCUCCUUCUGAAAUGUGCCUUUGCAAAGUAAGUCUGGAGAGAGAUGCAGCGGUUUUUAUUGAGGUUCGUCCCAAGAAGCUCAGUGAUGUAAGACACUGUGCUUUACCGUCUGUUCCUCAGGAUGCAAACGACUGCACCUGGGGGACCAUCAACUUGGUGAAAGAUGCUCUUUGGUUUGCCCAAAACUUAUUGGUCUUCCAGAGGAAGAAAUUGACCUUGACUGAUUGUUACAGACUUGCACAUUCCAAGGUCCAGGACGAUGUGCUGAGGGAUGCACUGAACUCUAGGGCAGCUGCCACCAAGGUGCAGUGGGGAAUGACCAUGUCCAUCCCAAAUGGUAAAUCUUGUCAUUACAGAAGCUGGCUGAAUUGGAACCAAGGUGAGUAGGGAAAGACCACCGUGUAAGGUCUUUCUUCUGAAGUUAAAUGGGGGUCCAUUCAGUUAUCAGACCGUCCCAGUGCCUCAAACUUGUGUAAAUAUAGUUUUGUACAGGUAAGAAAUGUCUUGGGUUUGAUUGCUGGAUAGAGUCAAACUCCAAUGUUUGUUUGUUUCUGCAUAUGUCACUUUACAGAACUGAGCUGCUUUAGUGACUGUAUCUUUACAAAGAUAUUUUUACGAAUAAAGCGUAUUUCUGAAAUAAAAAAGUACAGUAUUUUUAAA